AACGAACGCUGGCGGCAUGCCUAACACAUGCAAGUCGAACGAACCCUUCGGGGAUAGUGGCGCACGGGUGCGUAACGCGUGGGAAUCUGCCCUUUGCUUCGGAAUAACAGUUAGAAAUGACUGCUAAUACCGGAUGAUGUCUUCGGACCAUAGAUUUAUCGGGGUUUGAUGAGCCCGCGUUGGAUUAGCUAGUGGGUGGGGUAAAGGCCUACCAAGGCGACGAUCCAUAGCGGGUCUGAGAGGAUGAUCAGCCACACUGGGACUGAGACACGGCCCAAACUCCUACGGGAGGCAGCAGUGGGGAAUAUUGGACAAUGGGCGCAAGCCUGAUCCAGCAAUGCCGCGUGAGUGAUGAAGGCCUUAGGGUUGUAAAGCUCUUUUACCAGGGAUGAUAAUGACAGUACCUGGAGAAUAAGCUCCGGCUAACUCCGUGCCAGCAGCCGCCGUAAAAC
rnacentral:rRNA from 1 species